GACGAUAUGUGGAAUUACACUUGUUGUGCUGUUAACUGCAAAAAUAACGGUAAAACUAGUGAUUGUAUAUUUUACAAGUUUCCAACUGCAUCACAUAAAAUAGUUCAAAGGCAAAAAUGGAUUGCUGCUGUGAAAAGAAAAAAUGGACUCCAAAAACUCAUCAUGUAAUAUGUAAUGCUCAUUUCAUUGGCAAGAAAAAAUCAGAUGAUCCUGCGAGUCCAAGCUACGCGCCAACUCUAUUCCCUCCAGUUUAUCAUGCAAAGCAAGUAAAUGAAAAAGCUGUUUUGAGCAGGUACAAUCGACUCAUGAACCGA